GACGAACGCUGGCGGCGUGCCUAAUACAUGCAAGUAGAACGCUGAAGGAGGGGCUUGCUUCUCUGGAUGAGUUGCGAACGGGUGAGUAACGCGUAGGUAACCUGCCUGGUAGCGGGGGAUAACUAUUGGAAACGAUAGCUAAUACCGCAUAAUAUUGACUAUUGCAUGAUAGUCAGUUGAAAGGUGCAACUGCACCACUACCAGAUGGACCUGCGUUGUAUUAGCUAGUUGGUGGGGUAACGGCUCACCAAGGCGACGAUACAUAGCCGACCUGAGAGGGUGAUCGGCCACACUGGGACUGAGACACGGCCCAGACUCCUACGGGAGGCAGCAGUAGGGAAUCUUCGGCAAUGGACGGAAGUCUGACCGAGCAACGCCGCGUGAGUGAAGAAGGUUUUCGGAUCGUAAAGCUCUGUUGUAAGAGAAGAACGAGUGUGAGAGUGGAAAGCUCACACUGUGACGGUAUCUUACCAGAAGAGGACGGCUAACUACGU
rnacentral:rRNA from 1 species